UCAGUAGGGAAAUGCUUACAGCUGCCUCUAGAAGCAAGUCCGCUCGCUGCAUGGAGAGGGAAACAUGAGCAUGCAGCAGGACUAGCUGUCACCUCCCGCCCGCCUGCCCAGAGAGGGCCAGAGCGUCGGGGAGGCAAGAUGAUCCACCAGCGGUUCCAUCCUACACUUGGGGGCAAUAUGUCCUGAACCCCAUCAGGAUGAAGCCCCAGCUCCAUGAAGCCCCUCUUGAACUGGUCCAUCCUACUGUUCCAGUCUCAGCUCCCUCUGCUCCAGGCCUUGAACUUCACAUUCCAGCCUGGGGACUCCUGGCAGUUCCCUAAAUAUGCAAAGAGCUCAGCUUUCUUUCCUGGUCCUGGUCCUGGUCACUUGGCCCUCUCUGUCUCUCCCUUCCUUCUUCCCAUCUCUCUUCCUUUCUGGCUCAUGUCCCUCGCACAUGCUGUAAACUCUUCCUGGAACAUCUCCCUUCCACCUGUGAAUCUCUUGCCAGCUCACUUCUUUUCUCCCUUUAAGAAUCCACUUCUCAAAAGAAAAUGGCAACUCUGUGAGGUGAUAGAAAUGCUGAUUCGCUUGAUCAUUGUGGCGUCCACAAUGUAUAUAUAAAACAAGUUGUACACAUUACCAUGUAUAAAUUUGUGUUUGUCGAUUAUAUGUCAAGAAAGACAAGGAGGUGUGGAAAGACUGCACCUCUGUCAAGACGCCUUUCUGACCACCCCCCGACCCUGGUUGACACUCCCUGACAUGAGCCCCCGAGUGUUUACCUACGCUAUGUGUAUCAGGGCAUCCCGACCACUUGCUCACUCACCUGUCUCCCCACUGUGAGGUCAGCGGCAGGGCCUUGUUCAGUGUCUUAGUCAUAUCCCCUCCAGCACCCACCAUGACCUCUGGCACUAAGUAGGGGCUCAAUAAGCCAAUCAUUGUGUUGAUGUACCAGUGACAUUGAGGGAAGACCAAGCUCGCCGACCUCUAAGAUCCUGUCCACUCUGAGAGUCUGUGAGUCUGUAUUUCUGCUCCCACAGUUAGUCACGGAGGAAGUUGCCAAAGCAGAUGAUGAGACUUCUGUUUGGGGUUGCCCAGGUCUGCCUGGCCUUUGCAAUUUGUAAUCAGGUCCUUUGAAAGAGAAACUGAACUGAGAGAAAAACACAGUUUGGAUGAGGCAAGAGUUGCAAAAUAAUGAGUUAUGUAAUGGUGAUGGUGGCCUGUGGUAGCAUCUUUGGCCCUGCCCAGAUGAUACAAGACUUUGUAUGUAUACCCUUGAGCAUGGCCAAAAGGACAAUUGUCAAAACCACGGCUUAAGUGUUCAAAAGCCUCUUUUCCCAUAAGAUGUUGCCUCUUGAGGUCAGACUGAAAUCCUGUACCUGUAAUAAUUUCCUCCUUAGGACUGGAUGUACAUGAAAAGAUUGGAGAUAUAUAUGUACCUUUUUUAUAUGCCAUGUAAAUGGUAUAACCCUUGCACUCUUUGGCCAUUAACAGCCAAUUGUCAAUUAGUUUAUUGUGUAUUAGAUCAAACUGUAUUGCCCAGGCCAGCUCCUGAAGAACUGUGAACUAUGAACAUCUCAGCCUAGAAGGAUAAUGUGACCUUCAAUUUGCACACCAUCCAUUGUCUCUUUCAAACUAAGAGCCUCUCUAAGCUAGAUAGGCCAAGGAUUAUUUUUUUAACUUUUAUUUUAGGUUCAGGGGUACAUAUACAGGUUUGUUACAUAGGUAACCUCAUGUCAUGAGGGAUUUUGUAUAGAUUAUUUGGUGACCCAGGUACUAAACCUAGUACCCAUUAGUUGUUUUUUCUGCUCCUCUCCCUCCUCUCACCCUCCACCCUCAGUUAGUUCCCAGUGUGUGUUGUUUCCCCACAUCUAUCCAUGUGUUCUUAUUAUUUAGCUCCCACUUAUAAGUAAGAACAUGCAGUGUUUGGUUUUCUGUUCCCGAUUAGUAUGCUGAGGAUAAUGGCUUCCAAUUCCAUCCAUGUUUCUGCAAAGAACAUGCUCUCAUUCUUUAAUAUGGCUGCAUAGCGUUCCAUGGUGUGUAUGUACCACAUUUUCUUUAUCCAGUCUAUCAUUG
rnacentral:lncRNA from 1 species